AACCAACCAACCAACCCAACUCGAGCCCUCGACGAGCACCCGAGAGACACGAGAGUGAAGGAAAGAGGAAAAAGAAGAAGACUACAGCCAAAACCCUAUCUCACUCCGGCGCGCCACCGGCCGAUGGUUUCGAUGAACACCACGCCGAAUCCGCUUGACUCCGCCGCCGGCAGCGCCGCCGUCGCCGGCGGAAGCGUGGACGAGGGAGGAGGAGGAGGCGGCAGGAAGAAGCGGAUGCGCGGGGCGGUAGCGGCGGCGAUGGUGCCGCCGCCGAUGGCGGUCCCGCUGCCGGCCGCGGCGCCCGCGGCGGGGGAGGAGGUUCGGAAGGUCAGGAAGCCGUACACCAUCACCAAAUCCCGGGAGAGCUGGACGGAGCCGGAGCACGAUAAGUUCCUCGAGGCCCUGCAGCUUUUUGAUCGUGAUUGGAAGAAGAUUGAAGCAUAUGUCGGCUCGAAGACUGUUAUACAGAUAAGGAGCCAUGCACAGAAGUACUUCUUGAAGGUUCAGAAGAAUGGCACAGGCGAGCAUCUGCCCCCACCCAGGCCAAAACGGAAGGCAGCUCAUCCAUAUCCCCAGAAAUCAUCUAAAAAUGUUUCUCAAACUAUUUUAUUACAAGAACAACCUACUCAGCGGGAGCAAGGUUCUGUCAUGCCUAUGGAUACUGCUACUGUGAUAAACACAAAUGCGAAUGUGGCAGUGGCAGUGGCAGUGCCUUCCUGGGACAAUACUCUUGCUCAAUCUCUCAGUGCUGGUCUUGUUCCAGGUGCAACAAAUAACUGUUCAAGUAGCAUAGAGAGUCCAUCUGGUACUUGGCCAACUUCUGAAGCAGUUGAGCAAGAAAUUGUGGUUCCAUCACUCCAUGCUAUGCCAGAUUUUGCCCGAGUAUACAGCUUCCUAGGAAGCAUAUUUGAUCCUGAUACAAGUGGGCAUUUGCAGAGGUUAAAAGUGAUGGAUCCAAUUGAUAUUCAAACGGUACUACUACUUAUGAGAAAUCUUUCCACGAACCUUAGGAGUCCUGACUUUGAGCAACAUCUAUGGUGGUGGGGACCAUGUUAAACCUGAAGGCAUGGAAAAUCAUGGAUCUCCUCAGAGUGGCCAUCUUCCAUUCCUGGUAACAAGUGAAUGAGAGCACACUGGCAAUUUGUGGUCGAAGCUUUGGUUGUUUCCACGAGACACAUUCUUGUGUGUUCUCAGCAAUCGAGUUGUGGACGGCUGGUCUGGCAAUUUAUGAAUGCCAUGUCUGCCAAUCUGUAUAGCUUCCAAUAAUGGUCUGACCCUAGACUAGUUUUGUUUUCCACGUUCAUGUAGAUAGCUAGUUUUGUGUGCUCAUGCAAUUUUUUACUGGGUGGAGCCUAGAUCGAUAUGUUUUUGUUGUAUCACUUGUGCACGCGUGUAUGUAAGUAUGUGGAACCUUGUAAUGCUUGAGGUACUUGAGAGUCUUCGGUUAAGACAAAGCAUAUAUGCGCAAUAAUCAGGAGAUCACCAUCGUCGACUAUAUAAUGAGAAGUUUUUUUAGUUG